UUCGUGUGAGACAUACAUGACCGGGAGGGCUCAGUCCCUCUUCGUUUUGGGGGCUACCUUUGGUCUAAGUGCAAAGACUGCACUGUUCAACAGCAGAAUGUCCUAAGGAGACAUACCUGCCACUGCGCUCUAUCUAGAAGUUUAGGGACGUUUUUUGCUUUCUUACUUCCUGCUCCCAUCUCCUCUAUCAGUCACUCUUUGCCUGCUCGGAACCUACCCUGAAGUGACCACCCAAAUGUCUGGUGAGACCUUUCUUGUGCUUUCGGCUUCCUCUCUGAUUCCGAGGGGGAGGACAUGUGCUCCCCACUCAUGUCUAACAGUGCUUAGGUGGACUGUAGCUCUUCAGCUGACAUAGACUUGGCACCUAUGGCUCCUCAGCCGAUUAGCACUGAGUGGAAAGAGAAAACUGGCUAGUCACUGGAGCUGGUGUUGGUGCCAAGCUGGGGCAGCUCCAGUGGUGGCAGCACCCAGCUGUCUGGAACAAAACUGGGAGGAAGAGCCUGCGAGAGUGCUGUGCCUCAGCCAGGGGUGGGACCCAAAGGGCACAUGUUGCCUUAAAUGGCUUUAGUGUAAUGAAGAUGCCAUCCAGGUAGGGAGCUGCACAGAGAAAGGAGCAGCAGCAAAGACCAGUCUGGAGCCAGCAGAACCAUGCGUGACCAGCCUUGGAAAACCUCCAGCAUGACAUGAAAGUGAGACCAAGAGUGUAGACCUCUCCCUGGCCACGACCCCAGAGUAGAGUUUUGCUGUUGGGCAGCGGUCAGUCCUGAAGGUUCCUGGCGACUCUCAGGAGAGCUGGCUGUGUGUCACUGUGAUGGAGAAGAUCCCACAUUUGGUCCUCUGAUCUCCAGCCUGCUUUGGAGUUGGACGGCCCCUUCCAGAGGAGAGAGGAAUCAGGUCGCUCGCAUCUCGGGAGGAGACUGAGGGAGUGAUCAGCAGACGUGCUAGGAGAUCAGGAGAUCACCAACUGCCGCCCUGGGAGACGUCCUGGAAGGUAGCGUGUUCAGGUGAGACACGCGAGUGGCGUGGUCAGUUCUCUGUAAAGGAGAGAAGACGCACACCUUUAAUCCAGCAGGCACACCUUCUGCUGGGAGCCUUUGUGGGACAUGGAUGAAGGAAGCUUUUGCCUUUUGCCUGCUUGCUCUCUCCUUGCGACAAGUUUGUUCCUACGCUGGCAAGAGCCUACUUCUUCAGAAUACCAGAGUGUACUAGAGACCAGCUGAGACCCAGCCUUGGGGAUUGCGCAGCUAUCAGAAUCACGGACUUCCAGAUUAUAGCCAGCAAUUGUUGGAUUAGCUGGACUGCAUGUGAAUCAGGAUAAUCAAGUGCAUUUACCUGAAAAAUUGAUGAAAUAAUUCACUCCACGGUGUUUUGGUGCUGUCUGUGCUUCUAGCAGAGGCUUCAGCAACGGCCUCCUUCUCCACACUUUUCCAAAUUCCUCUUUCAAGCAAAUUCCAAAUGCGUGAAUCCUUCUGGACUUAGCAUUCUGACACCGGUGAGAGUGAGAGAGAGAUGUCACCAAAGGACCAAAGCCAGGAGAGCGCUAGUAGAUUCGGAAACAUUUCUGGAGGCCCCAGUGAGAUUCUUACUCACCAGGGCACUGCUUGGUCCAGGGAAGCUGCUGCCCCUGGGCCUCUCAACCUACCAGCAUUCUCUGGAGCUGGGAAGCACACAGCCCUGAUGGAAUUCUGAGGCCCUCACAAAUAAAAGAAUUCCAAAGCCUUCUUAAGUACAGGUCAGGUUUAGUCACAGCAAUGGCUCUAAUUCCCUAAUACCAAUUUCCCCUCUCCCUUCCUUUAUUCCUUUUUUGUUUUUGAAACUGGGUUUCUAGUGCAGCUUGGCCUUCACCUCACUAGGAAGCUCAGGGUGGCCUCCUGCCUCACCUUUCCAACUGCUGGGGUACCAGAUGUACAACAUAACACCUGUUUCAGGCACUGGUUUUCUGUGUUUUGUCACUGUAAAGAAUCCCUGAGAAAAUAAUUUGAAAGAAGGAAUGAUGUAUUUUGGUUGAUGGUUUCAGAGGUUUUAGACUAUCACCAGGAGGAGACACCAGAGCAGGGAAGUUUCCAUUGUGGUGAUGUCCAGAGGAACCCAACAUUGGUCCUCUAAGAGCAGGGAGUAACCACAGAGCUAUUUAUUUAGCCUCACAUGUUAAUCUCUUAGUGCCUAAAUUCAUAUGAAAAAGGAGUAGUGACAAAGAAAUGAGUGAAUAGAAAGGAAUCGUGAAGCUGAACCGAACAGCUGGGGCCUUCAUUUCCAAAAGUCCACUGAGAAGUAUAUGGGCAAGGGCAGCCUGGCUCACAGUGGCACCCCUGCUUCCAAGGUUCUCUUCCCUUACUGCCACUUAGCAGUUGGCAAAAAUCACAACCAAAGAGCCAGUGGAGAGCAGCAUCGUGAAGGGAGCGGAGUAGAUUCCCAUGCAGCUGGCAAAAUGCCGUUGUGGACUCUCAGUGGGAGGAACUUUCCCUUUAUAUGAAACCAGGUGUCAUGCGGCUAAGCGUCCAGUGCUGGAGUGUAUUGAUGGGGACUGUGUGGCUCAUAUUGUAUUGUACUCAUUUCCCAGUCUUCCCAUGAUAUCCACCACACCAGAAAAAAAAGGAAGUAAAAAAAUGAAAAAAGAAAAAAGCAAGUCUAUUUCGUGUUGUCCAUGUGUUCACUGGAGCAUGACCAAAUUCCUAGUGUCCAGCUCCCUGCAUCCUCGCCAGAAGCGUCAAUGGAGGAGAAUCAUGCAGUGACUGGAAAGGGGCCCUGUCAGCUCUCCCAUACCCACACCAUUGCCUCAACAGGCUGUGGGGCAGCAGAGGGCUGGGGUCAGCUCUCUGGUGACCUGGGACAUAAAUAUGACUUCAGGCAGCAGCCCAGACCACAAAUAUUCGCAUGUGCUUCCAUGGUAACAUAAGCUGCAGGUGAUCAUCAGUAUGGCCCUUGACUGUAUCAGGAUGCUGCAUGGGCCACGGAUGUCAACAUGGCCUCAGGUGGCUACAUAUGCCACUCCCAUCAGGGUGCCCCUCUCUUUCCAGGCAGAACAGUCUGAGGACAUCACCAAGACAUCAGGCAGAGGCACAGACUGCGUACAACCACAUGGCCCUCAGUCUUAAUGACAGUCUGGGGCAGCAGCAUGGGCCACAGACACCAACAUGGUCUCUGGUGUCAUCUUGGAUCACGGUAGUGCUUUGAGGAGGUCUAAUCCAGACAGUGAACCUUUCCUCAUCGUGGGCCUCCAUCGUUGCUCAGAGCCAGGGGGAUCCCGUGGCCAGGCAGCAGGUUUGAAAGCUAAGUUUGCAUCUGCAUACACUCCAGGCUGUUGUACACCAUCCUGUUGUGCAGGGUUGUUUGUUGGUUCCCAGCCCCCUACUAUCUUAGACUCAAAAUAAUCACAUGGAAACUGUAUUAAUUAAACCACUGCU